UACGUAGGGGGCGAGCGUUGUCCGGAAUUAUUGGGCGUAAAGAGCUCGUAGGCGGUUUGUUGCGUCGGCCGUGAAAACCUGCAGCUUAACUGUGGGCCUGCGGUCGAUACGGGCAGACUUGAGUUCGGUAGGGGAGACUGGAAUUCCUGGUGUAGCGGUGAAAUGCGCAGAUAUCAGGAGGAACACCGGUGGCGAAGGCGGGUCUCUGGGCCGAUACUGACGCUGAGGAGCGAAAGCAUGGGGAGCGAACAGG
rnacentral:rRNA from 1 species